rnacentral:pre_miRNA from 1 species
UGAGGUUGCUUCAGUGAACAUUCAACGCUGUCGGUGAGUUUGGAAUUAAAAUCAAAACCAUCGACCGUUGAUUGUACCCUAUGGCUAACCAUCA